rnacentral:rRNA from 1 species
AGCUCCAGGAUUCUGAUUUUGCGUUGUUGCUGUUGAAACGCUCGUAGUCGAAGGUUUGCGUGCGGGGCGCGGUUGUCCCUUUGGGGGCGUACUGUGUGCUGUGUGCUUUUGGGUUUUACCUUUGGUGUUCUUAAGUGAGUGCCCUGUGGGAGGACCCCAUCUACUUUGAGGAAAAUGAAGUGUUUAAGACAGGCAUGUUGCCGCUACACACACCAUGGAAUAAUGGAACAGGACUUGAGCUUGUUUUGUUGGUUUUCGUGCAAGCCAGAGUAAUGAUUGAUAGGAGCUGUUUUGGGGGCGAUGGUAUUCGGCGGCCAGGGGUGAAAUCCUAUGACUCGCCGAGGACGGACUACUGCGAAAGCAUUCGUCAGCGAUGUUUUCUUUG